rnacentral:lncRNA from 1 species
AUUGAACCACAAAGUCUGUAGGUCACAGACUGAAAAACACUAUUCAGAAUAGCAGACGUGAAGCAUGAAUCUGCUGCUCUACAUUUAGAAUAAUUCCUCCUUGGAUGUCCUGGUGAUAGGGCUGCCCAAUAUACUAAAUGUAGUUUAGUACUGAGAUCUGAGAACUUAUUUGCCCUAGCUUUUGAACUAUAAAAUCAUAGUGAGAAGUAUGUUGCUCACUAAGGAGAAGUACAUGUUCGCAUUCAAACUGGGUUCAGUGCAACAGCAGCUCUUCAGGAGCGUGGAAAAGGACAUCCAGUGUUAAAGCUACUCCAGUGUUUGGGUAUUGUUAUAGUACAGAAAACCUACUGCUUUGGAGUAAAUUUUGGACUCAUACAAAGUUUAAAAAAAACAACAAAAACACCUGCAACUGAAUUGAAAUGGGUGCAUUUCACAGGGCUCCUGAGAAAUCUUGGGGUUAGUCUUCUGCUGCUGCUUUCUUAUUUGCUAUGGCAACUGUCAUGCUAAGCUGUACAUCGCUACAGCCCUAGGCUCUCAGGGCAAGUGCCAACCCAUCCAAAAUAAGCCACUGAAACUGUACAAGCUUGUCUAAGUCAGCAGCCUCUGCUACCACUCUGAUUGCAGGGAAAGUACUUCUCACAACUGGUUCAUCAGACCCUAAGCCAAGACUCUAGGUGAUAGAUCACCUGCUGGAGGUGCCUCUUCCUCUUCACAAGGUGUGAAGGGAGCUUAGAGGAG